rnacentral:lncRNA from 1 species
UGGUAAUAGGUUAUCACUUUGCAAAUGAAGUAGGCCCGCACUGUGAGAUGAAUCAAGAAACAUGUAAUCUUUACCAGGAAUCCUAAAUAUUCUACAUUGCCCAAAGUGAGAGCAGACGGACGUCAGCCUGUAUGAUAGGUUACAUUCCAGCCUUAACACACACAGGAGAUGAAGGGGAGGGUUUUGAAAUGGUAGGAUUUUUCCCUUAAAUUUGCAUCUCAACAAGGAAACUACUGCAAAAUAGGUGGCAUCCUGUACUAAUGGCAAAGGCUGGCAUUUGUCCCCGCACUAUUUAAAAUUUGUGCUUGUGCAGGUUGGUGAUGUUAUUUCGUCACGCACCGCGGUUGCUGGCUUCUUGGGUCAAGAGACAAACUCUGGUCUUGAUUCAGAGAUCUUGCAAAAGUGCAUGUGAACACAUGGUUUUGUGGAAUGGCGCCAUUUCUCACUGCAAAUUCUGGUUACAAAGGUGAAUGAAUAUAUUCCUAUGUGCUCCUCAAGUGCUGGAAGGAUUCUGAAAUGAUGAUCUGGAUGAUCUUCAUGGCCUUUUCCAACCUUAAUGACGGUAUGAAAUAAAGCUACGUGGAGUCUAUUUUAUAGCUGAUUU